rnacentral:lncRNA from 1 species
GGGGAGUUGCAUUAGAAUCACGAAGUUGUUGCAUUGCCUUAUUCAGUGAUAGUGGGAAUUGGACCAAGGCGACAUCAAUAGCCCUUAGAGGGAGUUUUGAGGUCAUGUCUAAUUCCAGAUGAUUGGACCCAGGCGACAUCAAUAGCCCGUCGAGGGAGUUUUGCUGUCAUGUCCAAUCAAUGAUGUGGAAUGUAUGAGUUGUGUUGCAUUGUCAUAAAAGAUGUGUAUGAACGAACUAUUUUCAGUGUUUCUACUCACUGGGCUUUAUAGCUCAUCCCUUUCCCUUAAUCCCAGUGUUGCAGGUUCUGGUUAGCUGGGAAGGUGAGAAGCAGCAGAGUGUAUCAGCUAUGGUAC